rnacentral:rRNA from 1 species
AACGAACGCUGGCGGCAGGCCUAACACAUGCAAGUCGAACGCCCUAGCAAUAGGGAGUGGCAGACGGGUGAGUAACACGUGGGAACCUUCCCUAUAGUACGGAAUAGCUCAGGGAAACUUGAAGUAAUACCGUAUACGCCCGAGAGGGGAAAGAUUUAUCGCUAUAGGAUGGGCCCGCGUCGGAUUAGCUAGUUGGUGAGGUAAUGGCUCACCAAGGCGACGAUCCGUAGCUGGUUUGAGAGAACGACCAGCCACACUGGGACUGAGACACGGCCCAGACUCCUACGGGAGGCAGCAGUGGGGAAUAUUGGACAAUGGGCGCAAGCCUGACCCAGCCAUGCCGCGUGAGUGAUGAAGGCCUUAGGGUUGUAAAGCUCUUUUAGCAGGGAAGAUAAUGACUGUACCUGCAGAAUAAGCUCCGGCUAACUUCGUGCCAGCAGCCGCGGUAAU